rnacentral:misc_RNA from 1 species
UGAAGACGUCAGGUGAAAGG